rnacentral:rRNA from 1 species
UACGUAGGGCGCAAGCGUUGUCCGGAAUUAUUGGGCGUAAAGAGCUCGUAGGCGGUCUGUUACGUCCGCUGUGAAAACCCAGGGCUUAACCCUGGGCUUGCAGUGGAUACGGGUAGACUAGAGGCAGGUAGGGGAGAAUGGAAUUCGGUGUAGCGGUGAAAUGCGCAGAUAUCGGGAGGAACACCGGUGGCGAAGGCGGUUCUCUGGGCCUGACCUGACGCUGAGGAGCGAAAGCGUGGGGAGCGAACAGG